AGAGGAUUUAACUUGAAAGGUCAAAUGAGAGCACCAAGAAUAAUGAUAGUCUUCAAAAAAAGUAAAUACUAGUUUGUCCUCAUACUUCUAGGUUUUGGAUAAUUUGAGAUAAUCAGAUUUGCUGUCCAUGUAUUUACUGGUACUAUAACUGAAUUUGUACUCAUUUUAUACCAACCUAUGAAAGACUAGAUCAUGCUCAGCAUUUUAUCUGACUACCCACAGUUAGCAAAGCAAACAAUGCAAGAUAAGUACAAUUAUUGAUAACACUUAAAAUAAUUCCAUUCCUCUUCAUAGCCCAUUGCAUACUUGAAAUUUGGCUUUACUGUCUGCAUAGUGUUGCCUGUCCAAGUGUUUGGAAACCGAAGAAUACUGUUAUGAUAUUUGCUGGGAUUUAAAACAAACAAACAACCUACAAACAUUCUCUGUCUUUGUUAAAGUAAUGCUUGAUCUGUGGCAUUUUUUAAAAUGCAAAGGUCUGUCUUCAUUCAUAACAUUCUGGAAUUAGGAGACUGUAACAUGUUUGCUAUAUUGCUUACGUGAUUAAUUUCCACUGGUUUAAUAACUUGAAUCAUGUCUCUAGUGGGAAUUUACCUAGUUUUGACAUUCAGCCAGUAUUUUUCACUGGGUGGGAAAAUAACCAAGCUAGCCACUAUGAUAUGAAAUAUCAAUCUAGCCUAUACAGAGACCAGCAGUAGAAGCACAAGACCUAGAAAUCCAGCUUGGAUAUCUUUGAAUAUCCUCCAGCUGCCUUCCUUCAACUUCUAAAGUACAGCAUGAGCCAGCAGUUGCAUUCAGGCUGUCAUGUUGAACAGGUAUCAGUGAAUAUAUUUGUAAUUUAUUUUUAUUUUUCAAGCUAAUUCAUAUGUCCCCAUCAUAUCCCACUCUCACAUCCAAUUUUACCCUACUGAAUAAUUUUGUAUUGGCAGCCAACUGUUUAUUCCAGAAUGACUUCCUCAUUUAUGAAUAUAUCAAAGAGUACAUUCUUGUGGAGUGUACUUUUCCCUUCUUGCUAUUGUGGAAAUGAUUAACUGCUAUCUGUUCUCUGGUCUUCUAAAUUCUGAGUAAUCUGAGAGGAUUUUCUCCGUGACACCUUAAUUUUGUGUUUGGUUGUGGGUAGUUUCUUUGGUGUAGUGUUUUUGGGGGUUUUAUUUAGGGGGGUUUUCAGAUGGAAGUGACUUUUCUACAAAAGCUGAAGUAAUUUUUCCUGGUGUACCCAUACAUCCUGUUAGUUUUGAUUUAGUUAUCGUUUCAACUUGGUCACUGUGGAGGUAAAUCCUGCUGGUAGUUUCUGGGUAUUCCUAAGACCUCUGUU